CUUGUUUGAACCGCAUGGUUCAGACAUAAAAGGUGGCUUCUGCUACCACUUACAGAUGGACCCGCUGCGCAUUAGCUAGUUGGUGAGGUAACGGCUCACCAAGGCGACAAUGCGUAGCCAACCUGAAAGGGUGAUCGGCCACACUGGGACUGAAACACGGCCCAGACUCCUACGGGAGGCAGCAGUAGGGAAUCUUCCGCAAUGGACGAAAGUCUGACGGAGCAACGCCGCGUGAGUGAUGAAGGUUUUCGGAUCGUAAAGCUCUGUUGUUAGGGAAGAACAAGUGCCGUUCGAAUAGGGCGGCACCUUGACGGUACCUAACCAGAAAGCCACGGCUAACUACGUGCCAGCAGCCGCGGUAAUACGUAAGUGGCAAGCGUUGUCCGGAAUUAUUGGGCGUAAAGGGCUCGCAGGCGGUUUCUUAAGUCUGAUGUGAAAGCCCCCGGCUCAACCGGGGAGGGUCAUUGGAAACUGGGGAACUUGAGUGCAGAAGAGGAGAGUGGAAUUCCACGUGUAGCGGUGAAUGCGUAUAGAUGUGGAGGAACACCAGUGGCGAAGCGACUCUCUGGUCUGAACUGACUCUGAGAGCAAAGCGUGGGGAGCGAACAGGAUAGAUACCCUGGUAGUCCACCCGUAACGAUGAGUGCUAGUGUUAGGGGUUUCCGCCCUUAUGCUGCAGCUACGCAUUAAGCACUCCCCGGGGGAGUACGUCGCAGACUGAACUCAAGGAUUGACGGGGCCCCACAGCGGUGGAGCUGUGUUUAUUCGAGCACGCGAGAACUUACAGGUCUGACUCCUCGACAUCCUAGAAUAGACUCCCCUCGGGGCAAAUGACGGUGUGCAUGGUGUCGUCACUCUGUCAAAAUGUGGGUUAAUCCCCACCACGCACCCUGUCUUAGUGCACAUCAUUGGCAUCAAGGGACUGCCGUAAAACCGAGGAGUGGGAUGACUCAAUCUCAGCCCUUAGGCGGGCUCCACUGCACAGGGCAACAAGGCACGAACCCGGGUUACCAUCCAAAUUGUUCAGUUGAUCAUCCGACCCCCGUGAACGGAACCUUAAACCAAACCCCCCGGAAACCUCCGGCUUAACCCCCCCCCCAAUUUUACCCCGACAGA
rnacentral:rRNA from 1 species